rnacentral:lncRNA from 1 species
UGUUCUUUGUUCUUAAUGCUUUACAUGAUCUGAUCAAUUGUGUGAUGAUUUCAAUUGUUUGUUUUACCAUGAAAAUGGGAAUAAAUCAUCGAUCUAGGAAUAAUUAAUUAAUUAACUUUCACUUAAGACAUUUCGGAUUGUUAAUUGAGAUUUUAAGAUUAAAGUUUUUCUUCCUCACAUGAUCAUAGGUCUUACUAAGAAAUUAGGGAUUGAUGAUCAUGAGAGAGGAUUAUUUUACCAAGACAUUGGGCAUAAUCAAUUAUGUUUUAAUCAAAUCAUGAAACUAAUUUGAAUAAUUCGUUAUCAUACAUGACAUUACCAAGAGAAAUAGUAAUUAGAUGACCCAAAAAUGACCAAUCGCUUUUCUUACAUCAAUCUAAACACCAAAGCAAUUCCAAAGUUUAAAAAUUUAAACUUGAAACCAAACAAGACCCCCCUUUACAAUUUACGUCAAUUUACAUAAGUAUGUCUUCAAUUUACAAUUGAUUUACAACAAUCCCUGCGGAAAGAACGAUUUUAUUAUACUACUUGACGGCUAUUUAGUACACUUGCUAAAUUUCUAUCAA